GAUGAACGCUGGCGGCGUGCCUAAUACAUGCAAGUAGAACGCUGAAGGAAGGAGCUUGCUCUUUCCGGAUGAGUUGCGAACGGGUGAGUAACGCGUAGGUAACCUGCCUGGUAGCGGGGGAUAACUAUUGGAAACGAUAGCUAAUACCGCAUAACAGUAGAUGUUGCAUGAUAUCUACUUAAAAGGUGCAAUUGCACCACUACCAGAUGGACCUGCGUUGUAUUAGCUAGUUGGUGAGGUAACGGCCCACCAAGGCGACGAUACAUAGCCGACCUGAGAGGGUGAUCGGCCACACUGGGACUGAGACACGGCCCAGACUCCUACGGGAGGCAGCAGUAGGGAAUCUUCGGCAAUGGACGGAAGUCUGACCGAGCAACGCCGCGUGAGUGAAGAAGGUUUUCGGAUCGUAAAGCUCUGUUGUAAGAGAAGAACGAGUGUGAGAGUGGAAAGUUCACACUGUGACGGUAUCUUACCAGAAAGAGACGGCUAACUACGUG
rnacentral:rRNA from 1 species